UAAACCAUGCACCGAAGCUGCGGCAGCGACACUAUGUGUUGUUGGGUAGGGGAGCGUUCUGUAAGCCUGCGAAGGUGUGCUGUGAGGCAUGCUGGAGGUAUCAGAAGUGCGAAUGCUGACAUAAGUAACGAUAAAGCGGGUGAAAAGCCCGCUCGCCGGAAGACCAAGGGUUCCUGUCCAACGUUAAUCGGGGCAGGGUGAGUCGACCCCUAAGGCGAGGCCGAAAGGCGUAGUCGAUGGGAAACAGGUUAAUAUUCCUGUACUUGGUGUUACUGCGAAGGGGGGACGGAGAAGGCUAUGUUAGCCGGGCGACGGUUGUCCCGGUUUAAGCAUGUAGGCUGGUUGUCCAGGCAAAUCCGGAUAAUCAAGGCUGAGGUGUGAUGACGAGGCACUACGGUGCUGAAGUAACAAAUGCCCUGCUUCCAGGAAAAGCCUCUAAGCAUCAGGUAACAUCAAAUCGUACCCCAAACCGACACAGGUGGUCAGGUAGAGAAUACCAAGGCGCUUGAGAGAACUCGGGUGAAGGAACUAGGCAAAAUGGUGCCGUAACUUCGGGAGAAGGCACGCUGGUGUGUAGGUGAAGCCCCUGCGGGUGGAGCUGAGACCAGUCGAAGAUACCAGCUGGCUGCAACUGUUUAUUAAAAACACAGCACUGUGCAAACACGAAAGU
rnacentral:rRNA from 1 species